rnacentral:rRNA from 1 species
CAAACUGGAGAUGGCGACCGGCGCACGGGUGAGUAACACGUAUCCAACCUGCCGAUAACUCGGGGAUAGCCUUUCGAAAGAAAGAUUAAUACCCGAUGGCAUAAUAGAACCGCAUGGUUUGGUUAUUAAAGAAUUUCGGUUAUCGAUGGGGAUGCGUUCCAUUAGGCAGUUGGUGGGGUAACGGCCCACCAAACCUUCGAUGGAUAGGGGUUCUGAGAGGAAGGUCCCCCACAUUGGAACUGAGACACGGUCCAA